rnacentral:rRNA from 1 species
CAACAAUGAAGAGUUUGAUCCUGGCUCAGGAUGAACGCUAGCGGCAGGCCUAACACAUGCAAGUCGAGGGGUAACAGAAGAAGCUUGCUUCUUGCUGACGACCGGCGGACGGGUGCGUAACGCGUAUACAAUCUGCCUUUUGCUGAGGGAUAGCCCAGAGAAAUUUGGAUUAAGACCUCAUGGUAUGUAGACAUGGCAUCAUGUUUACAUUAAAGGUUACGGCAAAAGAUGAGUAUGCGUCCUAUUAGCUUGUAGGUGUGGUAAUGGCACACCUAGGCAACGAUAGGUAGGGGCCCUGAGAGGGGGAUCCCCCACACUGGUACUGAGACACGGACCAGACUCCUACGGGAGGCAGCAGUGAGGAAUAUUGGGCAAUGGACGAGAGUCUGACCCAGCCAUGCCGCGUG